GCCCCGGUGGUGCAGUUGGUAGCAUGCUGUACUCCAAGCAAAAGUGUUGAUCUCAGCCGCCCCCGCCGCGUUCGACUAAGAUACCGGUAAAAAGCUUUCUUUCUCGAUGACAACCCCGGCGCCCCAAAAAUCCCCCCGACCGCUCGGCGACAACCCCGGCGCCCGAUUCGACAUGACGACAACCUGAGAUCUCACAAGUAGCUAGGUUUCCCAAAAACUUUGGUUCGAUUCCGAACCGGGCA